AAAGACUGUAAUCAUAUAUCCAUGGCGGUUUUGAGCUGCCAAACAUACUUUAUCAAUUCUAAAAAAAUUAUAAAGACAAAGCCGUUCAUCUGUUGCUCAUCAUCUCAAAACAACAAUGUGAAGGUAAUCAUAAAUGGAGCUGCUAAGGAAAUUGGCAGAGCUGCCGUUAUUGCUGUCACUAAAGCUAGAGGAAUGGAAUUGGCUGGAGCUGUUGAUUCUAAUUUUGUUGGACAAGAUAUUGGGCAGGUUUGUGACAUGGAAGAGCCUCUAGAAAUACCAAUAAUUAACGACCUUACCAUGGUCUUGGGUUCAAUAUCCCAGUUAAAAGCAACGGGAGUAGUCAUUGAUUUCACUGACCCUUCUACAGUUUACGACAAUGUCAAACAGGCAACAGCAUUUGGGAUGAAUAGUGUUGUUUACGUUCCCAGAAUUAAGCAGGAAACUGUCAUGGCUUUAUCUAUGUUAUGCGACAAGGCCAGCA
rnacentral:misc_RNA from 1 species